ACCAUGCAGUUGCAUGGGUCUUUCUGUCUCUUUCAAGAAGGUUGAGAGAUCCAAUCUCCCUUUUAUCUUUCAUAUUUCUGAAUGUAACUGAAGGCUACAGACUAGAUCCUGUGCACAGAAGAUUUGAACAUGUCCUUUCGGUUUGGGCAGCAUCUCAUCAAGCCUUCUAUUGUGUUUCUGAAGACAGAACUAUCUUUUGCCCUCGUGAACAGGAAGCCAGUGGUCCCGGGUCGUAUCCUUUUUUUCUUUGAUUAGAAAUGCCAUGUAUAAUGGUGUUGGAUCCUCGGCAGGUUCUGUAGGAAUAGAAGCCUCUUCUUCUCUCUUCACAUGGAAGAACAGGAGCCGCUCUGGAGUGUCAGGUGCUUGAUAAAAGUAAUGGAAUGGCUAAGGAAAUCUGCCAUCUAGUGAAUGAAGUGACAUUGCAGACAACAGAUAGAUUUAAUUACAUAACCACAAAGGGGAUUUAAGAACCAGAAAAAAACUAUCUGCUGGAGCCGAAAUCAAGACACCUUGAAAAGGCUUACAAGAGUUGUUGGUAUAAACAGGAAGUGCUUCCGGCAACCUUCUUGUACAGAUCUGAGGCUUGUCAGUCUGAAUUCCCAGAGCUUUACCUUGGCUUCAACUGCAGACAUUUUUGAAGGCUUUGUUCAUGAACAGGUCAUUACACCUAAGCAGUCUUUUCAGGCAGGCCUUCCAUCA